rnacentral:sRNA from 1 species
AUCGGCCGCGUAGGCCGGAACGGCGGAGCUCGCCGCCAGUACCGCCGCGAAAGCGGUGAUGGUCAUUCUGCGUGU